GCAGCCUGCAACUCGGCUGCAUGAAGCUGGAAUUGCUAGUAAUCGUGGAUCAGCAUGCCACGGUGAAUACGUUCCCGGGCCUUGUACACACCGCCCGUCACACCAUGAGAGUCGGGAACACCCGAAGUCCGUAGUCUAACCGCAAGGAGGGCGCGGCCGAAGGUGGGUCUGAUAAUUGGGGUGAAGUCGUAACAAGGUACC
rnacentral:rRNA from 1 species